rnacentral:lncRNA from 1 species
UCCAUUUAUUUGGGAAAUCUGUUCACUGCCCAUAAAGUAACUUUACUGUAAACACUCGGAUACUAGGAGAAUAACGACAGGCAUUAAAAUGAAAAGUCAGGCAGCAUUGACUUUGAACACAGAUUUUACACUUUGAACGUUAUCGUUCCUUUGUUUGAUGGUGGACGAAGUGUUCUCAUUGUACGAUUUGGCGAUCUCGUCGAUCUGAACUAUAUAUACACGAAGGUCUAUCGCAAGGCAUUGAAUAAACGCCGAAUGGUAAAGGAGAGACGUCAGAGAUUAAUGGCCAAGAAAUAUCUCGUUUUUCUGCCUUCUUACGUGUACGCAACUUAGAAUACAGUAACGUAAGUUUCCUUAGGGAAAAUGGUGAUACAGGAGACUUCAUCACUUUUGUAACGUAGACAUGUGUAGCAACUUAUGAGUAUUGCAUAGGGUAGAUCAGGUGCCUUAUGUUCAUAAAUACUGAUGUAAGUAGAAUUUCACUCUGGAGUCACCCAGAAUUCAUUAGUGUUACAGCCUUAAGCCUUAUAUACUGAAGAGGCUUCUGAAAUGUUAAGAAUUAGCCUGCAUAGGGAGACAACCCAUGGGAAAUCUAUGUUUUAUAAAUUAUGUGGAGGUACUUAGAGACAUUACUGUCGCCAACAAAUAAGCGAAAAGAGAUUUUUGCGCGUACUCCGAAUUUUUCGUUUCGUUCACGUACGAAAAGAAUUUGCACGCAGAUAAAUUUCGUGCAAAUGCGAGUGUCUGUGCUAACGAAUGACCUUGAACCAACUUAACCGACUUGUGUGGCUUCCACGAGGGAAGAAAUUCAACGGUUUCCAGGGACGAAUGCAACCGCAUACGCGACACAAGUGCACUCUAGCUGCAUUCCAUAUGUGCCUCGUUCCAACGAAUUGCGAUGUUUCCAAAUUGUUACAUCGAUUACAUAAUUUCACGAGCUUACAUAAUUUCCAGAAUAUCUUUAUUCUAGUUCUAGCAUGCGACGAAGGUUUUCGGCCAGCUCUUUUGAUAUUAUGAUAAUAAAGCGAAUACAUGACCUUAUAUAGGCAGGGAAUAUCCGCUAUCUGCACCAUCUGCGAACAUUUCAAACCUACACAUGGUACUUAUUUCAAGUACCAUGUGGGUGGACAGUUACACAAGCCGAAGGGUAUCAGCCUUAAUAGCAAAGUGUAUAGCUCAAUGACAGGCGCUAAUAUCUUGGUUCCUAAUUGCGCCAAUGUAUACCUUGUUCGUGCCCAAUCGCCCUUGGAGAACUAACUUCAAAGUCAAACGAGCAGAGUAUCAUCAUUACUUCGAUCAUUCUAUGAACACGUAGAGUCUCAACCACAUGUUGCAAAUUCCAACUGAUAGUCACCUCGGGUAUUUCUUUUUCAUUGAAGUGGCCUCUUUUCUCAAAAAUAAACCGGGACACUCGGCAGGCAGGGAAGCCUAGCUAUACACGUGUCGAUCCGACACGAGAGAGACGGAUAAACGGACGAGUACGAAACCGACAUGCCAGAAUACAAGUUGCAGAGGUGGCGGAUGUGGAAUCGUAUAAGCGAUGGCAGAAAGGGGUUGGAGUGGGAGGGGAGCUGGGUAUAUCGACCUUUGCGGCUCACAGUGAACGCGCGGAAAGCAGUUGUAUAAAAUUUCUAAUAGCAAUUGUCGACAUAUGUACGGUGCAUAAUCAGGAAACGGCAACCUAGGAAACUUUUUCGAAGGAAAUCUCUCGCGAAACAAGGACGAGUGCGCCUCUUUUUAAAUUUUAACGAGUUUCUGCAUAUUAAUAGAUCAUGUAAUUUCUCUGUGGACGCUUUUGGAAGUAGGCAAUUAAUAUUCAAAUCCCAAGCGAGUUUUUAUAUACUCUGUUCGCUACGACCUCUUUUCCGCUUACUUUUUGCAACCGAAAAUAAAAGUGUCGAGUACUGACCGAUGCAAAGCAUUUCUCAAGAUGCGAAAUUCAAACUGACAAAAAUGUGGUAAUAGAACGCGUUACUCGAAUUGUAUUGUAUUCUCGCGCGUAUAAUAUUUUUAGAACGACGUAUAUAAAACGAGGAGCAGUCAGGGACGUACAAAUACAAAGUGCAAUGUGCUCGGAGAUGGUCUGAAUGAACGGGUGUCGUUCGGUCUCCAAUAACCGAGCUAUCGGAAACAUAUGCGCGCUAUUUCGAUCCGUUAAAGUAAUUGUGAAAUGCUCGCUAUUGUUUCGAGCGUUAUCUUAUCUCCGUGUUUAUCGCGAUAUCAAAAAUUAUUCUUUUUCUAAGUUGGACCAACUUUCCUUGUUUACUCAAGAUAACAUUCCGUACUACCGAGUCCUUGCAAUUAGUGAAAUCGAGUUUAUCAACAAGACGUCUAUCGCAUUCCAAAGUAUUAAAUCUCAGAUAAUUCGUGCACCGCUUAGAAAGUCAUUUUGGCGCAAAGCUGUCGGUCGAAUUUCCGCUAUAGACAGCUCGAGAAACAAGAGUCGCUAAUUACUCCCCGCGCUAAACGUACUCUUCUUUCACUGUACUUUUCUCGUCUUCCCGUCGCGACACACUCGUUUUCGCCAGCUUUGCGGUUUGGUUAAAUUAAUUGGCAGUCAAGUUGCCGCACUCUGCUCUGAUAAUAAUACGAAAAUCAAUUUCCGCAUGCAUGUCCUGAAUAUCUAAGUUUCAAGACGGUACUUAAAAUAUGCACUUAACAAUUUUAGACUUUCAUAUUUUCCGUAAAGAAGCCAGAUGCGCUCUUGACUAUCUAGAAAGGAUUAUGUGCUUUCACUGAAGCAUAGGGAAAAUGACACAGGAUGGUUGGGUUUCUCCAAGGUGAAUUGCGAUAUAAGGAAAGGAGUUCUAGUGGUAACGACUGAUAUAUCUGGAGUGCCAGAACGAAUCGAUGGAACCCUUGCGUCACCAUUUCUCUGAUGGAGAAACUUAUCGUUCUCGGUGACCAUUAUUUAGGUAGAUAAGCAGAGGUAAAGCAUUAAUAUAUGAACAGGUUGCUCGAAGUAUAUUAUUCUUGUGGCUUAAUUCGUUUUGUCCUGAUUUCGUACUGCGCUGGCCAGACGGUACAAAUUAACCUUUGAAAAAUAUCAGAAUGGUAGCAAACCGGUAAAGGCCAAGGGGACGAAGGCGACGAAGGACAAAAGCGAGCAAAGGAAGGAUCGGCGGGAGCGGGCCUGCGCCGUCUGACCGACACGUAUAAAUAAAGAGUCGGUUUAGCUGCGACGUUGCCGGAUCUAGGUAAUAUUGAUCCACUCGAACUCGGCAUGGUCGGCAGCCGGGGGUCACACGGGAAAACCCGGCAACGUUGCUCUGUUCCCAGCUGAUCGAGCUUUACUCGUGUCCUGCUCGACGCUCGACCGUGUCUCUUCGUUUCUUCGCCUUCUUUCUUCGUCCCGUUCACGCGUUCCCUCUCUUUUCGCUGUAACUAGCAACCGCCACUUAUCGUUCUGCCGGUAACCUCAGGCCUUUCCUUUCUUCUUAUAUCGCCCGCUCUCGCCGCCAUGCCGCUCCGUUUUAACUCGAACGCCACGCGAAUUCUUUCUUCCAUUCGGUUCGGCAUAUACAGCACAGUCGCGAACGACAUUAUGCAACGAAGAAAGGCUCCGACAUUCAAUGUAUACGUAGACGUACGGAUAUGAAAGCGUCGAAUACGUGUACAUGUGAUGGUAUUCGUCGAGUAAACAAAAGAUUUAAUAAUUAAUCGGUUUAGGUACGACGCCAAAGUCUGUCACCAGUCUGACCUCCAUCGAAUUGGACUUCGAUUUUCGUAAUUACGACGUAUGAUUUUAUGCCAAAUUCCGUAUUCACGAGCUUUGAUAGCGACGGAACAUGCUAUCCUUUAAAAUUAGCUACCCUUCUUUCUUUCGUCUACUACCCGUCCGACGUUUUUGACCCUCGUGAAAACCGCCUGCCAACGGUGUUACGUAACCGUAGCAUCAAAUUCGCCGCGUAAGGAAUCUAUGGCGUAAUUCGAUGAUUUAAAAAUGCGAUGAAAGUUUAAAAACUCCUCGUAAAAACCAAGAGUAAUUUUUAUUCUAGAUUUAUUGUCGUUAGUGUUCUUCGAUACAGAGUUCUACGCAUUUCUUAAUUCACGAUUAACUCGGUUUCUAAAAGCUAAUGCUAUCAACAUUCUUCGAACAUUUACUUUGAAAGGAUUCCUUCCUUUGUUCUGUUUAUCGAUGCCAUUACGUAACACCUGUUAGCCAAUAAUUCCGUCUUUAUUUCUCAUUCAUGCUCUCUUUCGUUUAAAUUAUUGAUGUUGAACGACUAUCGGAAAAGAUAUCUCGAUUUUCAAUUGAUUGGUUAUCUAUUUCAUUUUUAUACGUAAUUGCCUUGAGCUUUGGUGCGAAACUUUCUUCGUUUUACAAAGUAGACUGAUAUCUGCGCGUGAAUUUCUACUCGUGGAGAUCUCCAUACUUGGUAUCGCGAUUUCUACACGCGAUUAUCUCUAUACGUAACAAUUUAACGCCUGGAGAUCUUUAUACGUGCUGAUCUAACACAUGGAAAUUUAUGCGUAUAGCAAACUAACUCGUGGAAGUUUAUAUGACAAUCUAACGUAUGGACAACGUAUGACGAUCUAACAGAAGAAGAUGUAUUAGAACCUGUACAAAUACACUCAAAAAAUGUGGCGAAUCGAUGGAGACGGGAAAUGGUCCUUCGGUUACAAUUUCCCUUAACCAUGACCGACAAGACGAGAAGAAACCUUCAGCCGAAGUUUAGCAAUCAAGGUCAAAUUCAAUCUCGUUACGACCAUGCACGCAAAUCAAGUUUCGAAACAAAUUACGAAAACGAUUUACAGGGCUACGCUCGAAUUGCACAAUCCACGUUAAUUGCGAUUCGAACACAAAGUAUAAUUCAAUCAAUUGUCCGACAAACUGUGACCCGAUAAAGCAAAGUUAAAAAGAGAACUUUAUAUCGUUAUGUUCAAAAUAAUUUUCUUUAUCUCAAAUUUAUCUGCUACAACUUUCUGUACAAAGUUUCAAACAAGGUUUGUUAAAAACGCACAAUGUCUAAAGUCCUGAGAUACAUUUGAAUAUUACAGGUGAAGUCUUCUGAAUAGCUUUAAUAUUUGAUGAAAGAUGACAAGCUGAAAUUCAGUAUUAAAAAAAAAAACAGGAAAGGGAAGAAUACGUAAACUAACUUAUCAAGCAUAUCUGCGUAACUGGAGAAUAUAGAACGGUAGUUUAUGUUACACUACACAGUUAUACCGUUCACGCGAAUACAGUUACAAUAUAUAACACCUAACUUUUAAACACGUUAUUAAUACCGUUCUCGCGUUGACGUUUGUUUACCUUAAAUUACCGUAGACAUUAGACGUUAGACUUUAUUAAUAAGCCUGGCCAAAGAUCGGUCUCUGGCUGCUAAAUUAUACCAUUCUUUUGACACGUUUUGCUUGUCAUCUGCACGUGAUUAAGAAAACUGGCCUUUAUAGAUUAUGCUCCGUUCAAAACUGAAUAUUAGUUACCACUAAGCCAAAGUCUACUUGGCAAUUGCACAUGCAGACAGUUUGAACAAGUAAAUUAUAGCUGCACCAGGUUUCAUUAGGAUAAUGAAAUUCGUGUUUUUCUUAGAAAUACGCAGGCUCGACUCUUCUAUAAUUAACGACAGUAAAUGAAGGCACACUUUCCUUCGAACCUUUUACUAAUAACGUGAUCAAUUUUGAAAGUGUUCGAAAAAUUGCGUCGAAUUUAAGGAAUCAUAGUUCAGGUAAGAAUUCUAUUGAAUAUAAUUCAUGCUAGCAAUAAACUUUCUCACAUGUGAAUCACAGUUUUACACAGUUCGAAAGAAUUGUCGUUUCGCUUAGGUAUACGUCAUCAAAUUCAAACCGAGUGUCAGGCAAAUAUUAUGAUUAUUCGCUAAAAUUCAAGGUUGCGGAAAACAUAGUUUGAUAUGAGGGGGAAUGCUAGCUCGGUAAAGAUAUGUAAGUCACCCCAGUUUUAUAAAUAAAGCACCGUAAUUUAUAAAAUGAUAGCCAUUUUUAAUACGCAUUUACCGAUUUCUCGACGCAACGUUGGUCGUUAAUAAAAUUAAUAUUUUUUUACAAAUAUUAACGAGUCUAUCGCGUGUGUCGUGUCGUUAGGUUACUUUCCUAUCGGACUAGUAUAUCGGCGAUCGUAUCCAUUACAAACAAAUUAUCGGUUUCAGUCGAACGAUAAUUAGCACACGGACACGCUUUCGAACGUCAUUCGCCAUCGUAAAAACUGCAACGUAGCCAAUGUUUCUUUUACAUGAAAAUUUGGCAAUCAAUCUUGCACCGUUAUUUGAUUAACGAAUAUUGGCAAAUUUGUGCACAGCUAGUGGAAGCAGUCGCUGCAGGCCGCUGUACGAUGCAUAUUUAUGAAAUAAAUUCAACUCCGAUAUCUGGUAGUCGAUACAUCGUUUUUAUUUCUGCAUUCGCUAUUAUAAUAUACUUUGACUUUUGCAUUUUUCAUUUCGUGUAACUGGUUAAAAAUUAUAUGAAUUUCUCUGCUCCUACUUUACACAAGUUUUGAAAUUUUCGGAGAUAAUAUUAUAAAAUAUAAGGCACUGAAAUUAUGCCCUCAUGUCCAGCACGUUUCGCUUUCAUAGCACAAAUAGACCCUAAAAAAUGUGUAACAUCUCGGACCCCUCGAAGGCUAACUCUAUCAGUGUUAACAAAGGAAUCUUGAUGCGCCUCGACGCGUCAAACACCGAGCUGUCUAAAGCCAAGAGCAUCUUACGAUGCCACAAUAAUCUGGGGCAAGCUUAUCGCAGGUGCACAGCGUUUCUGAUUUCGUUACGAAAAAAAAAUUGGAAAGGUUUCAUCGAGCGAAAGAUACCGGUGCCUCUGUUUACCGAGCCAGAAAGAUAGCUGAUAAAAAUCGACUAAUUAGCAGGUAUAAUAAAAGAAGAAGCAGUAAGAACGUAGAGAAGGUCCACGCAUGCGCGAAUAGCAGAGCGCGUGCAUACAUAUCGUUUUGCAAAGAUUUGCAAAGAAGAAUAAAGCAAUAGAAGGAUUUAUACCGGGUCUCCGAUCAUAUGACUCGGAAAGUGCGUUCUAUCAAAAGCUGCGAUUUUCGAUGUUUCGUAGAUGACCCGUAAAUAUGAUCGGCAAGUACAAGUAAAGUUGUGUCGUAUCGAAUUAUUGCGACAGGAUAUCUCGCAGGAAUCCUGGGCUCGGUUAACGGUGGGCAAAAGAAUCGGAGCAGAGGGCUGUGCCUGAUCUCUCGUGGUUGUUCCCCUCUCGGGGCGGUUCGCCUAGCGAGGUGCAGAGAGAUCGGUUUUGCGUCGGCGCGGUUCCCGAGCUCGCAACGUUGCCGGCUUUUCGAGUCGACGGCCACCACGAGGAGAAGCCAACUCGGCUCGAGCGGAUCUCGCAGUUAGUUUUUGUCUUUGACACGCGACGGACGACGUUGUCGCGUCGCGAUGCACGAGUGUGUCAUGUGACACGCGAAAUAGGAGGAGAGAGUAACACCGUCUGUGUCGUUGCGGCACGAUUGACAGGGCCGCGGCCGUUUACAAAAGGAGAGACGACUCGCGCGAAAACGAAAGGGGAAAUAAACGCGGGACUGAGUGUGUGCGUGCGUGCAUGGGUGAUUGGAUGCGUGCGUGUCGUUUGUAUGCGUUACAUUCAUUUCUAUGCGUCUGGCGCGCGCGAGUGCUCGUACCGGUUGUUACCGUGCGCGGCGGUCGUUCUAUGCUGGCGGAUUUCCUACCCGUCCAAUUUCGGGACUCUGUAAGUCGUUUCGUCGGAGCGCGCACAAUUAUGUUACCGGCUCGACACGGCAAUAGCAG